AGACACUCAUUUCUGCUGAAGGGCUGUCYUUGGACGCGGUAAUCAGUGACAUCUGGGCAGGGUUUCUCUUCCUUCCAUGUGAUUUAGAGUCAACUCCACACCUUUGGAGAACACCUUAGCCUUUCUGCUGUCCAUAGAGGACAGUGACACGAUUUACACCAGAUCCAGCAUUUUCUCGGGGACUCCAAGGACACGCUGUCCUGCUGUUGUGUCUCACCCCAAAUGCACCUCAGCUGUGUCCAUUUCCUCCAGUUACAGAUUUG